GUCAGGCACAGUGACAGGUGCCUGUAGUCCCAGCUACUGGGGAGUCUGAGGUGGGAGAAUGGCUUGAGCCAGGAGUUCUGGGCUGUAGUGCAGUAUGCUGAUUGGGUGUCCACAGUAAGUUCAGCAUCAAUAUAGUGACCUCCCAGGAGCGGGAGACCACCAGGUUGCCUAAGGAAGGGUGAACCGGCCCAGGUCAGAAACAGAGCAGGUCAAAACUCCUGUGCUGAUUAGCAGUGGGAUCAUGCCUGUGAAUAGCCACUGCACUCCAGCCUGGGCAACAUAGCGAGAUCCCAUCUCUU
ensembl:misc_RNA Metazoa_SRP Metazoan signal recognition particle RNA